CCCCCCGGGUGUUUGGGCUUGGAAGGGGACUUUGGGGAGCGUCCAGACCAAUCCCCCUGGCAAGGCAGAGUCACCUGGAGCAGGGGACACAGGAACGCACCUAGGUUAUGGCCACUGCUCCCCUCCUGCCGCUGGGCACCACCAAAAACACCGUCCUCUUGGCUCUGCUUUGAGGAAUAUUUAUAUGCAUUAAAUAAGAUCCCCUCUCAGUCCUCUUUUCUCCGGAUGAAACAGGCCCAAUCCUGUUUAAUCAGUCAUGACGGAGUCAUGGGCGGGUGUCACUCACCCGUGGGUCAGUGACGAAGAUCAGGUGACGCGCGACGCUUUCGGCCUGGGGAGGAGGAAGUGACUCAACGCACGAGCAAUUACAAACCAGUUCUGGAAAGGCAGCUCGCUGUGUCGAUGUAUGGAUGUCUGCUAAAUAAGUGCCAUAUCUUCCCCUCUGGUACAUUAAUUCCUUUAGGGCAAAAAAAGUAUCUGGCAAACUCAGCUGUAAUAAAACCUAUUCUUCCAAGUACCUCCAACUUACCACAGUGCAGCUUUGACUUAAUAAUUCUAGUGUAACUUUUUUGAUUUUAUUUUAUAAUAAAAGUCCUCUGAACCUUUUUGAUAUGGUCAGUAGGCCGUUUACUCUGGGCACAAAGGAAAAAGGCACAUCCACAGUUCCCCCUGGACUGGGAAGGUGUGGUGAA